UUUAUAUUAGUUCACACAAACACUCCAUCCAUGCUUUUGUUCCGGCCCUCCGGUCCAGCUUAAGAACCCAUUGUGGCCCUCGAGUCAAAAAGUUUGCCCACCCCUGCUCUAAGGGGUCUAUCGGCAUUUCUCUAAGGCAGUAGAUUUCGCACAUUUCUGGAUUCAGACACAUUGUAAGAAAUGCUUUCUAUUUCAUUAUUCAUUUCACGUGUACAUAUGUCUAACUGAAAUAAAAUUUCCACAAAACAAUACUUACUGCAUGCAAUUCAACUCUAGUUUAUUUAGUUGUUUUUUUUUAAUGGUGGCCAUCACCAUCAUGGAAGGGGGUCAUGGAUAUAUGCCAUUAGCACUUGAGAAACAAAACCUUCUAUCCCCAUACUUAGCCUGGUCAUGGAGAACUGAAAACAUGCCUUACUGUAUACACUAAUAUGAUUUUGCUAUUUCACUGUCUUCAUCAGCAUGACUUUACUUUUCCAGGACUCCCUGCUCAGGGAAAUGGUUCAUUACCAGAACACCCUAAAAAACCCAACAACUAACUCUUCAGUGGAAAGCAUCAACAGAGGUUUUGAAAUGCCCUAGGAUUCUUUAAAUCCCUCACUUCAAAAACAGCAAGCUAUUUCCACCAAUGCUGGACUGUUGUAUUAUGAUCCCUGCCUAAUUCUAAUCAAGUCUUUCCAUUGAAACACCUAUCUCGAACCAAACUUCCAAUUCUCAAGUUCUAACCUUGCCUUCCCUCCCUCUGAGACACCAUGGCUGAAGCUUUGCAAAGAUGGUAUUCUCCUUUACCCAGUAAACAAGAAACACAACUUGUUCAUAUCAACAAGCUAUAUUGGUAAUAUUUGGGGAUCUAGCUUUCCACAUGCGGCAGGGUGCAAUUACAAUAUGGGGUUUAUUGAGGGAAAACUUACAGGCAAGCCGAGAAGUAGAGAGCAGAGUCCCAAUCUCUCCUUGUUCCAUGGCAUAAGCAGUCACAGUUGUUCUGUGUGCACUAAAGCCAAAGUCACAGCAAAGAGGAGCUGCUUGGACAGCAGGCUGACUGUUCCACAGCUAGCACUAAAAGAGAACAGGAACUCUGUGUACACACUGGGAAAAGGGAUAAGUUGAUACCUAGUUUCUCUAAGUAACAAGAAAUGUAUCAAUGAUCUCUCAUAUCAGGAACAAUGUAAGGGAGUGUGCAUGAUCAGGGCCAAAGUCUGCAUACCCAGGGCCCUAGGAAGAAUCUUGCUUAUCAGAAAUGCUGACAUUAGCCAAAGGACUUGUCUUUCCACAGCUGGCUCAGUAUAGCAUAGCCAACUCUCAGCUAAGCUACUGAAAAAGAGAAUGAAAUGAAGCUCGAGAGAUAUCCAGAUUUGUCUCUCAUCAAUCACCCUAAAAGAUUCCCCAAAUAACUAUUGUGUUGCAACCUGCAGUUCACAAAACACUCUUCUGGCUUCCCUCCCUCCCUAGCUGAAGCCAAGGAUGCCAAUAAAAACUGCUACUGUGCAUAACCUAAGCCUUACUGGGAAACAGUAAACCUAAAUAGAUACAAUCAGCAGCUUUUUCUACAUUGUGGCCAAGGCUCCAUAGAGUCACAUGGUAGCUGCCAAUGAAACUGAAGCUGCAUCUCAACAAUAGCAGUAUGUUAAUGAUGUCAUAUUUCUCCACAUUUACAUCCCAAACCUCCUUUGUCCCUUAUUACCCAAGCAGGCAAGCACUGUUAUUGUGCAGAGGAGGACCUCAAAGUUUAGAGGGGUAAAAACCCCCAGAAAAACAAACAAACAAAAAACACUGUUCUGUCCUGGCCAAUGUGAGCAUCGUACUGUGCACCAAAAGGUGGCAGGUUCGAUCUCCGGUUAGGGUUAGGGCAUGUGCACGAGGCAACAGGUCAAUGUUUCAUCUCUCUCUCUCUCUCUCUCUCUCUCUCUCUCUCUCUCUCUCCCUAUCUCCUUCCUUCCAUCCCCCCUCUCUCCCCCUUCCUCUCUCUGAAAUCAAUUUAAAAAACAAAAACACUGUUCUCAUGGGAUGAUUAAGAUGUUCAUUAUAUUGAUUGUGGCCAUGGCUUCAAGAAUGUAUUCAUAUACCAAAACUCAUCAAAUUUUACACCUUCAACACAUGCAGUGUAUUGUGUAAAAGUAUAUCCCAUUAAAGCUGUGAAAAUUAAUAAAAGGAAUAAGUGGAGUAGAGGGUAUAGAUGCAACAAGAAUAGUUAUAUGUUGAUAAUUGUUAAAGCUACUUUUGCUUGUUUUUGAAAAUUUCUUAAAUAAUUUUAAAAUGAAUUUUACCAUACAGAUAUGAAAACAAUUCAAAAACACACACCAAAGAACCUGUUCUGAACCAUGGUUGCACAGUUAUUAUAAGGAGAGUGGAAAGUGAAAGUAGCUCCAAAGUUCAUGCAGAAACAAAUUCCUUGAGAGGCUUCUGUUACCUUGGUGAAAUAAUUUCUAACAUCCUAAGGGCAAAGAAGAAAUAUGGGGACUAAGUGGUAUUAAUGUAUUCACUAAUUCAUUGAAGAAAUAUUAAUUGAGCACCCAUAUGUCCCAGGCACUCUUCUAGAUACUGGGAAUGCAACAGUGAAUGAGCAAGUCCUGGCCCUCAUGGAGCCUACUACAUUCCAAUGUAAGGAGAGAGAUAACCUACAAUAAAACAAAUACUGGCUGAUAUAAUUUCAGGUAAUGAUAAGGGCUAUAUUAAAAAUAAAUAAGUACAGGGAUAAGAGAGUAUCAAGGAGUUCAGGGAAGACCUCUUCAAAAAAGGCUCAAUCUAGAGUUGGGAGGGAAACACUGGAAAUGGAGACAGAGGAAGGAACAGGAAAAGAGGGUUAAAUAUUAGAAAUGAAUGUACUUACUGGAUAUUAGAAGAAAAGUGCUAAAGAUAAGGGAGAUAUGGCUCAAGUAAAAUGUGUUAGAGCAUCUGCUCUUACCCCUACUAAGAGAAGUGAAUAAAUACAGGGCUUUGGGAGACUAUGUCCUAAAGGAUUGGGGCUCAGGAGUCUCGUCCCAGCACAGGCCUGAGACCCUUAGGGAGUACCCAGAUCUCUUCAUUCUGGGCUGGUUCUGUUAGAGUUGAAAUAGCACGUCUGGUUUCUGGUUGGUCACCUUUCUGUGUGUCAUUUUUCAUCUGUUCAAUAACAGCUGUGCCCUAUGUUGCUCAGCAGUUGAUCUGUAUAUUAGGUCAGAAAGCCAGAGCUUAGGGGCUUGGCAUUAAGGAACUGAGUUCUUUACUGACUGACCAUGAUUAAGGCACUGCUCCACUUGUGGGAGUGUGACCUUAGAUGGGUCCUCGAUACUAUUGCCAUGCCUACUACUAUCUUAACACCUGCUAAUUUUAUAUCAUUUUAAUUAUAUUCUUCCAAACAGGUUUCUAUUUACAGAUUAUGUAAAUUGUCAUUAACUAUGUAAAUCUGACCGUAUAAAUAUUGAGAUAUUUUGAAUAGUCCUUUUUGUGGUAAUCAUCCUUCCCAUCAUUCUCAUAAUGUGUGUUGAUAUGCUAUUAUAUGUCUUUUCCUGCACAUAACCAAAUAUUCCUAUGCAUAGAUGUACAUAUUAUUUAUUUUCUGAAAUGGGAUCAUGAAGACUUUUUUACAUAUUCUCUUCAAUAAUAUUGCAUUAAAACCCCUUCAAGUCAUCUAGUAAAGCUGCAGUUAUUUCUUUUUAACGCUGCAUAAUAUUCCCUUGUGAGUUGAUACUGUUAUUUUAUUUUUUUCAGUACUGUAAUUUUUUCAACUGCCCCUUGUCACUGGUGUGGGAGUACAGCUACUCAGACACCAGGUAUUAGACAAAGACAUGAGAAGUCUCAGGCAUGUACUAGUACAGAAGAGACUUUAUUGUAGACUGAGUAGCCAUUACUACUAUAGGAGCCAUCAGACAAAGUCGUUCUUCAAAGUAGCCGCACAAAAGCAGCCAUGCAACAUGGCCUAGCCACCUGGCUGGUCAGUGGCAACUUAUAUACAUGCUCAAACAAAAGAGUCCUCGAUGCCAAUUAGUGAUACACACUGAAACAGAAGAGGCCUUGUGCCAAUUCAUGCCACUUGUGCUACUAGUACAUUGACAUAAACAGGUUACAUCCUCGCCUGCACACAUGGGUAUGGCAAAUAGGCCUUUAUCAUCUGGCAUAUUCUGAUUAGGUUCCCACAACUGGUCAUUCACUUUGUUACCAAUUUUUUGCCACUAAGAACUAUGAUGCAAGAACAUUCUUGUACAGAUUUGCUGGAGAAGCAGUACUGCAGUACGUAACUCACACAGCUGUCCCUGGUAGCCCUGCUAGGAAGGGGAGACAGAUUCUAGAUAAAAACAAACAAACCCUGACAUGUACUGUUUGUUGAUUUACAUGCUUUAAAUAUUUUCUUCAUAGCUAAUUUCAAGCUACCAAUGUGAAAUCACUGAAUGCAGAGUUGGGAAGAGAUGUACACAACUGGCUCCAACUUGUAUAAACAAGCUCCAGGACAUCAUCGUGAUGACUAACAAGAAAUGUGGAGUUCUUUACUUGGUUUUUAUUUGUUAACUUCUUUUCAUGGCAGGAAGAAAAACCACAUCCUUACUAGUAGUGUAGAUUUCUACACUGCACAAAUCUACAUGGCACCAUUCACAUCUACAUACAGAAAGUUGUACAAAGUGCAACUGUUCUCAGGUGGUCCUGAGGCAGAUUAGUAAAAAACUAGGAAAAUUCCCUGGCAAGUGGAAGGAGGACACAGAGACAAAUGGCUGAACAAACAACCACAACAGACUCAUCCUUAAAAUUUUUCCUGCUUAAGUCAAGAACCUGGAGGUCGCCUGACACCAAAGGUCCCAGACCUUGCAAGGUGUGGACAAAAGGGGCCACCUGCUAACCUGACAAGCUCAGGGGAGGCCUGCAUGGCAGUCUUGCAAACUCGGAAACCUAAAAUAACCACAAAGGAUGGUCUGUAAUUAAACUUUAACUAAAAGCAGUUAUGGUGGGCAGUUACAUCCUAGGCCAGUAUCUUCACUGACAAGGUUGACCUUUACCUUAACUGAGCCUAUCUGUCUUUUUGCAUCUAUGAUAACAUACCCUUUAAGUGUCUGGGUAACUUGUAACUUCCCUUUUUCUGGACCCCUUGGGGCACAACCAAAUGUACUGGGCGCCAGGACAGAUAAUGUGAUGGGCAUACACGCUUAGCGUCAUAUAGUGAAAUGGGUAUAGAUAUGUAACCUUUAAUUGACAUAAAGAAAAUUUUGUAACUUCUUUGUACCCUAUGUAUCAGGAACUUGAUGUUAAUCUGUACUUCUUGGAGGCCCGGACAUGCUCCAGCCAGGUGUGACACCAAUUUCCAUUGAGCUUGUUAAAGGAAUAGGUUGUGGUUAAAUGCUCCAGCCAGGUGUGACACCACACCGGUUUCCAUUGAUGGUUAACACCCUUAAAUAGGCUCCAAGAGAAAGGCUCGGGGCUGCAGCAGGGUGGGGCUUCCUAUGGGGGCACCUGUGGCAGUCGCUGGCCAGCUUUCAAUAAAUCCUCGCUUGCUGCUAAGACCUAA